GUUUAUGUUGAGGUGCUGAGAGCGCACGGCCUUUCUGUUAUUAUUUUCGUUGUAUCUGCUUCCUUAUGUUCUUUCUCGCUUAUUUCCAUCCGUGCCUUUCUUAACCAUCCAUCAAGGAAUAAGAAUUGGUUUGACGCGUGUUACCUGUGCCGCCUUGUCCUGCUGGCUUCACCUGUUCCCUGCCUGCCCUCACUUGUUGUCAUCACGGCGUGGCCUUCACCUGGGGCUCGCCGCAUCUCAAGUAGUACCGAAUGUCAGCAAAGAACGGCCGUUGCAGUGAAAAGGUU